rnacentral:rRNA from 1 species
GACGAACGCUGGCGGCGUGCUUAACACAUGCAAGUCGAACGGUAAGGCCCUUCGGGGUACACGAGUGGCGAACGGGUGAGUAACACGUGGGUGAUCUGCCCUGCACUUCGGGAGAAGCCUGGGAAACUGGGUCUAAUACCGGAUAGGACCCUGGGAUGCAUGUCCUGGGGUGGAAAGCUUUUGCGGUGUGGGAUGGGCCCGCGGCCUAUCAGCUUGUUGGUGGGGUGAUGGCCUACCAAGGCGACGACGGGUAGCCGGCCUGAGAGGGUGACCGGCAACACUGGGACUGAGAUACGGCCCAGACUCCUACGGGAGGCAGCAGUGGGGAAUAUUGCACAAUGGGCGCAAGCCUGAUGCAGCGACGCCGCGUGAGGGAUGACGGCCUUCGGGUUGUAAACCCCUUUCAGCACCGACGAAGCGCAAGUGACGGUAGGUGCAGAAGAAGGACCGGCCAACUACGUGCCAGCCGCCGCGGUAA